UUUAUGGAGAGUUUGAUCCUGGCUCAGGAUGAACGCUGGCGGCGUGCCUAAUACAUGCAAGUCGAGCGAACAGAUAAGGAGC
rnacentral:rRNA from 1 species